rnacentral:tRNA from 1 species
UCCCUGGUCGUCCAGUGGUUAGGACUCUGCACUCUCAAUCCAGGGGCCUGUGUUGGAUCCUUGGUCAGGGAA